rnacentral:rRNA from 1 species
GAAAUUGUUGAAAGGGAAACGGUUGCAGUCAGUCGCGUCCGCCGGGGAUCAACCUUGCUUUUGCUUGGCGUAUUCCCGGUGGAUGGGUCAGCAUCAGUUUUGACCGCAGUUGAAAGGCUGGAGGAAUGUGGCACUUCGGGUGUGUUAUAGCCUCCUGUCAUAUGCUGCGGUUGGGACUGAGGACUCAGCACGCCGCAAGGCCGGGAUUCGUCCACGUUCGUGCUU